GAUUGGUCUCCACAAAUUCCACGUGCGUGGAAAAAAAGAUCAGGAUCUGGGAAUAUUUUUUUAUUCUCGUAGCUUAGUUUAGCUCAAUACCUAUACCAAGCUAAGCUAAAUUAGUUCAGCUCACGGUGUGGCUUUCACUUUACUACGGUAACAAUGGUUUAUAAAACAAAAAAAGGCAUAAACGAGAUUCCGAAGCAGAGUCAGGAUGUUUGAUCGAGUCGCACUGACGUUUCUAGCGAUUGCGUUCGUUGUAGCACAAUACGAAUACUCCAUGUCUGCAAACCUCCCUAACUACAUAAAGAAAUCACUGCGUGAAAAGAACCGAUAUAGACCAAAACCAAGGGAGAUGAAAAAGACAAUGUCUAACCUCACGCUGGAAGAGGUGUUCGAUAAAAUAAAGGACAUUACUAGAGCUCUCAACCAACACGCGAAGAAAAAUGGAUAUUUUGUCGACUACAAGCUUCGAAUGUUAGAUGGACAUUAAAGGGUUUUUUGCGUUUAAAACGAAAACAGGUGAUAGUACUGAUGAUUACUGUUAACGUUACCACAAAAAUAACGUGUUUUUUUU